rnacentral:piRNA from 1 species
UCCCCAAAUCUCAAGACACGCCUUUGUGUA